rnacentral:rRNA from 1 species
AACGAACGCUGGCGGCAUGCCUAACACAUGCAGGUCGAACGAGGCCUUCGGGUCUAGUGGCGCACGGGUGCGUAACGCGUGGGAACCUGCCUUUAGGUUCGGAAUAACUCAGAGAAAUUUGAGCUAAUACCGGAUGAUGUCUUCGGACCAAAGAUUUAUCGCCUUUAGAUGGGCCCGCGUUGGAUUAGCUAGUUGGUGGGGUAAAGGCCUACCAAGGCGACGAUCCAUAGCUGGUCUGAGAGGAUGAUCAGCCACACUGGGACUGAGACACGGCCCAGACUCCUACGGGAGGCAGCAGUGGGGAAUAUUGGACAAUGGGCGAAAGCCUGAUCCAGCAAUGCCGCGUGAGUGAUGAAGGCCUUAGGGUUGUAAAGCUCUUUUACCCGAGAUGAUAAUGACAGUAUCGGGAGAAUAAGCUCCGGCUAACUCCGUG